UACAGAGGGGGCAAGCGUUGUUCGGAAUUACUGGGCGUAAAGGGCGCGUAGGCGGCCUUCUAAGUCGAACGUGAAAUCCCCGGGCUCAACCCGGGAACUGCGUCCGAUACUGAAAGGCUUGAAUCCGGGAGAGGGAUGCGGAAUUCCAGGUGUAGCGGUGAAAUGCGUAGAUAUCUGGAGGAACACCGGUGGCGAAGGCGGCAUCCUGGACCGGCAUUGACGCUGAGGAGCGAAAGCGUGGGGAGCGAACAGG
rnacentral:rRNA from 1 species